rnacentral:SRP_RNA from 1 species
GCCGGGCAUGGUGGCGCAUGCCUGUGGUUCCAGCUACUUGGAAGGCUGAGGCAGGAGAAUCGCUUGAUCCCAGGAGGUGGAGAUUGCAGUGAGCUGAGAUCAUGCCACUGCACUCCUGCCUGGGUGAAAGAGCAAGACCCUGUCUCAA